UCAGUUCGGAUUGUAGGCUGCAACUCGCCUACAUGAAGUUGGAAUCGCUAGUAAUCGCGAAUCAGAAUGUCGCGGUGAAUACGUUCCCGGGUCUUGUACACACCGCCCGUCACACCACGAGAGUUCACAACACCCGAAGUCAGUGGCCUAACCGCAAGGAGAGAGCUGCCUAAGGUGGGGUAGAUGAUUGGGGUGAAGUCGUAACAAGGUACC
rnacentral:rRNA from 1 species